rnacentral:rRNA from 1 species
AGAACGAACGCUGGCGGCAUGCCUAAUACAUGCAAGUCGAACGAACACUUCGGUGUUAGUGGCGCACGGGUGCGUAACGCGUGGGAAUCUGCCCUUGGGUUCGGAAUAACAGUUGGAAACGACUGCUAAUACCGGAUGAUAUCGAAAGAUCAAAGAUUUAUCGCCCAGGGAUGAGCCCGCGUAGGAUUAGCUAGUUGGUGAGGUAAAGGCUCACCAAGGCGACGAUCCUUAGCUGGUCUGAGAGGAUGAUCAGCCACACUGGGACUGAGACACGGCCCAGACUCCUACGGGAGCAGCAGUAGGGAAUAUUGGACAAU